rnacentral:tRNA from 1 species
GGGCCCAUAGCUCAGUUGGUUAGAGCAGUCGACUCAUAAUCGAUUGGUCCCAGGUUCAAGUCCUACUGCGCCCACCA